AAUUUUGGACAAUGGGGGAAACCCUGAUCCAGCCAUCCCGCGUGUAUGAUGAAGGCCUUCGGGUUGUAAAGUACUUUUGGCAGAGAAGAAAAGGUAUCGCUUAAUACGAGAUACUGCUGACGGUAUCUGCAGAAUAAGCACCGGCUAACUACGUUCAAGCAGCCGCGGUAAUACGUAGGGUGCAUGCGUUAAUCGGAAUUACUGGGCGUAAGGCGUGUGUAGGCGGUUCGGAAAUAAAUAUGUGAAAUCCCAGAGCUCAACCUUGGAACUGCAUAUUUAACUGCCGAGCUAGAGUAUGUCAGAGGGGGGUAGAAUUCCACGUGUAGCAGUGAACUGCGUAGAUAUGUGGAGGAAUACCGAUGGCGAAGGCAGCCCCCUGGGAUAAUACUGACGCUCAGACACGAAAGCGUGGGGAGCAAACAGG
rnacentral:rRNA from 1 species